rnacentral:misc_RNA from 1 species
AAAGUCGUAACAAGGUUUCCGUAGGUGAACCUGCGGAAGGAUCACUAGUGAUUAAAUCGAGAGCGUCUUCAUUGACCUCUCACCCUUCACAUCCACAUACACCUGUGCACCGUUUGGCUCUUUUAAAAGACGCAAGUCUGCAAAGAGAGUCAUCAAUUUUAUACAUACCCCAGUCUUAUGAAUGUAACAGUUUUAAUAAACAAAAUAAAACUUUUAACAACGGAUCUCUUGGUUCUC